CUAUUGCAACGUUUAAGCAACAUUCUUCGAUGUGUACAUGGAUAGGACAGGAUUAGAGGGAUAUGGGCCAAACGCAGGCAGGAGGGAUUAGUGUAGAUGAGAUACAUUGGUCGACGUGGGCAAGGUGGGCAAAAGGGCCUGUUUUCAUACUGUAUGG